rnacentral:misc_RNA from 1 species
GCCACGCCCGAAGUCGUUACCUCAACCGUAAGGAGGGGGAUGCCUAAGGCAGGGCUAGUGACUGGGGUGAAGUCGUAACAAGGUAGCCGUACCGGAAGGUGUGGCUGGAUCACCUCCUUAAAGGGAGACCUAAUUCGGGUAGGAGACGAAAAAAAAGUAGUCCCUACCAAGAAUCAAUCCCAAAAGGUCGGAGCGAGGCGAAAUUGGCUUUCAAACUAGGUUCUGGGUUCACACAAGACCUGAAUCAGGAACAAGGGCUAUUAGCUCAGGUGGUUAGAGCGCACCCCUGAUAAGGGUGAGGUCCCUGGUUCGAGUCCAGGAUGGCCCACCUGCACAGGUGGCAAAAACAAAAAAGCUCCGAAUCAGCACCUUAUCUUACUUAUAUAGUAAGAGAGAAUGCUGGCUCUGAGUUCAGAGUCCAGAGGAACCUUGAAAACUGCAUAGAGCUAGGUGAAAAAGCCAAAAAAGAAGACCGUCAGGUCAAGCUAAUAAGGGCUAACGGUGGAUACCAUGGCACACAGAGG